GUAUUUUGUUCAGUGUGUAUACCAAUGGCUGCAAUCAAAACAUUGUCAUUAGGCUCCGGUAAAAACAUUAAGUUAAUUCCAAAAAAGUCGAUUAGUAAGCUGUAAUUAUGGAUCUCGCGAGAAUCGGUGCCGUGCGAAAAACUGAUUGUUUUGCUGCUUUCCUGCAGCUGCCGCUUUUUCCAUGUUGUCGUCGGAUGUUGUACCAGGACCAAGAGGGAAUGAAUAAUUCUCCAAAUUAAAUGCUGGAGUGCUCUCAUUUGGUGGCCAUUCGUCCCCGGAUACGUCUUGAUAUUGUAUCAGUUGACCAGAGACACAAGUUGUCGAAUAAAGUGCUCGUUCAGGGUCCUUUCAAACUAUCUUAGAAUUGAAACGCUUCGUUACAAAAAAUCGCCAUUCCAAAUCGUUUUCUGCAAUACUUCACAAGCCAGCUGCAAACUAAGACCUAAACUUGCUGUAAUCGGAAGAGACGGAGGCUGCUCGGACGGAGAACCAACAAUCGGGAUGUUGAGGCGCAUCGGUCCACAGAGUGCAAUCAGAGCAACAAUCAAUGCAAGCUGGAUGUUUCUAGAUUGCCGCUACCAGUUACGACGAGUAACAAACAUUCAUCCGUUCUGGUUAUUGUGCUGAAUAGAAACCCAUGCAGAAAAUCAUUUUUACGAUUUCGAUAGUAUAUGUUUAUCCUGUUAUUGUGUAUUGAACGCUCGUUAGCAAUAAAGAUGAUUUUUUGUUGUUUUGUUU